UCCGAGUUGACCCCGGCAGUCUCCUGCGAGUCCCCGCCAUUACGCGCUGGCAACACAGGACAAGGGUUGCGCUCGUUGCGGGACUUAACCCAACAUCUCACGACACGAGCUGACGACAGCCAUGCAGCAUCUGUGCUUCCGUCCCGAAGGAGGCACCCCUUUCAGGGUGUUGCGAAAGCAUGUCAAGCCCAGGUAAGGUUCUUCGCGUCGCAUCGAAUUAAACCACACGCUCCGCUGCUUGUGCGGGUCCCCGUCAAUUCCUUUGAGUUUUAGUCUUGCGACCGUACUCCCCAGGCGGUCCACUUAAUGCGUUGGCUUCGGCACGGAAGGGGUCAACUACCCCCCACACCUAGUGCCCAACGUUUACGGCGUGGACUAC
rnacentral:misc_RNA from 1 species